UACGAAGGGGGCUAGCGUUGUUCGGAAUUACUGGGCGUAAAGCGCACGUAGGCGGAAUGUUAAGUCAGGGGUGAAAUCCCCGGGCUCAACCCGGGAACUGCGUCCGAUACUGGAAGGCUUGAAUCCGGGAGAGGGAUGCGGAAUUCCAGGUGUAGCGGUGAAAUGCGUAGAUAUCUGGAGGAACACCGGUGGCGAAGGCGGCAUCCUGGACCGGCAUUGACGCUGAGGCGCGAAAGCUAGGGGAGCGAACGGG
rnacentral:rRNA from 1 species